rnacentral:rRNA from 1 species
GACAGAGGGUGCAAACGUUUGUUCGGAAUUACUGGGCGUAAAGCGCGUGUAGGCAGCUUGGCAAGUCGGGUGUGAAAGCCCUGGGCUCAACCUAGGAAGUGCACUCGAAACUGCUUCGCUUGAGUAUCGGAGAGGAAAGCGGAAUUCUCGGUGUAGAGGUGAAAUUCGUAGAUAUCGAGAGGAACACCAGUGGCGAAGGCGGCUUUCUGGACGAUCACUGACGCUGAGACGCGAAAGCGUGGGGAGCAAACAGG